UGGAUUCAGAAGUGGAUUUUUUCUUUUUCGGGAAAAGCAACCGUUUGCCAAUUGCCUUCUGACUUGUCCCUUUCUGGGCUAUUUUUGGGCAUGGUGGACAAGUGUUUGGGGGGUGGUUUUUAGUGGGAUAUGGACAUAGCAAUUGGUUGAAUACCUUAAUAGUUCACACGUUUUACAUAGGAACUUGUCCCCUUCAUAAAUGAUGUUUUGUUUGUAAGAUCCAAUUAAUACAUAAGGUAAAAUCGGACUUCUAAAGGAAUUUUUACGCAAAGCCUAGCAUAUCUUCCUCUUAGGGUUGAGGAUGUGCAAGCAUCAAUCUUUAAUAAAUUUCCUACUUUAUUCCGAUCUUUGCUAGGAUAGAAGCAUCGUAGAACUCCGUUGGCAGUUGAGGCAGCUGGAUCCAUACAGCCGUAAAAGGUGCAUGCCACGAAAUUUGGUUUCUAUUUUUGGACUGAUAGAAAAUGUCCAAAAAUGAACCAGGGCCUUGAUCAUAUUUUCUUCUUUUUCAAGUUUUACUUCCCGUUAGGCCGAAGUGUUUGGGCUUUCCUUCUCCGCGCCUACUCAGGCUUCGCUGACCUAUCGCGUGGUAAAAAGAAGAAAGUACGAAAGAAUAGUAAACGGAGCACACCGCAGAAAGAUUCUAAAUAUGAGAAGUUAUCUGCUCCCAGAUUGAUAAGGGAAAAUUUUUCCAAUGGUUUCUAUAGAUCUUGGAUGUUCCUUUUUAAGAAGUGGUGUAAGAUCCUUUUCCCUUGGAGUUUAACAAUCACUGAGUAACGCCAAGACAGUACAACUUCCAUCAGAGAGUCCGUGAAGAAGUUAGAGCUGAGGGAUGCGUUCACCCCAUACUCAUUUUCAAGUAAGUUUUCUUUGAAGUUCGAUUUUUCGUGUUGGGAAUUGGCACAGUGGUGAUAGGUGGAUCCGGUAGCUUGGGUGGUUUUCGGAUUGGUAGGAUUGGAUCUGUCAUUAAGAACCUUGAAAGGAGUGAGCUUUCUAGGGGAUUGAGAUUUUUAGAGAGAAAAAACUAAGUUCGUAGACAGCAAUUUCAUAAUCCACACUAGUUUUAGAUGAAUAAUAAAUGAGAUAAGUUUUAAAUUGGGUAAAAUAGUUUUGUUUCACAUGAAAUGCAAGUUCCCCAUGAUGAACAUGAUUGACAUUGAUAUCAUAUGCAUGCUUAAAUGACUAUUUGUUUGGUCAAUCAUGUUCAUCAAUCUCUUGAAGAAACUUGCAUUUAAUGUGAAACAAAACUCUUUUAACUCAAUUUAAAAUUUAUCUAACACUGAUGUGGACUCAUCUAGGGAGUCCACAGGCCACCGGCGACAGGUAGGUGACCCCCUUUCUCUCUCUCUCUCCCUCUCCCUAUAUCUCUCUCUUCUACUUUUGCUUUCCUUUUCUUCUUUCUUUCUCCCGUACCCUCAAAGCCCUAACAGGAGAUGUUACAGUUCACUUUUAUGCGAACAUAAAGGCUACUAUCACAAUUUGACUCUUUGUUGGUUUAACAGAGUCACCGCCUAAUUAAUUAUGAGAAUUAGAAAAAUCGCUUGUUUAAUGUUGUUUUCUAAAAACCUUUUAAAAAGUACCAGAGUUCGGAUAAGGGUUUAGGUGAUUCUCCGAGGAAGGUGUUAGGCACCUCGGAAGGAAUCCGCACAUGUAGUUGACCUACGGGUUUUAAAACUGUGGCUAAAAAGUAUAUUUGCUUAAAAAUGUGUUUAAAGGAUAUGUAUAAGACAAGAAUAAAAUCUUUCCCUUGCAUGUUUAUUUAUGAUAUUUUUUGAAAAGAGAAACUUGUAAAAAUCGUUUUGAAAUUUAGUAGUAAGGGAAUUGAACUUGUCCAAAAGGAUUAAAUGACUUUAUAUUUACUUUUCUGAACCAAACACACUCAAAAAUCAGUUUGUUCUAAAAUGUAUUGCCUAUCCUUUUAAAAGAAAUUUCCAAGCCCGUAAAAUCUGUUUUGGGACACUUUUAAGAGAAAAUCAGUUUUUGAAAGUUGAAUUAGGUCUCAUUUAAAGUGGGUCUUUCUACUAUUCUAACGAUCUUAGAAUCGUUUGCCUUUCAAUAAUACAAAUCAUUCUUUUAUAUAUAUAUAUAUAUAUAUAUAUAUAUAUAUAUAUAUAAAGGAAAAAGUAUGUCAUGCAAAGGGAAAAAGAAAAGGGCUGGUUAGAGGGCAUCUGCGCUUAACAAAUAAUGUUCAAAAGAAACAACUUAAACUUAUCACAUAAUACGACCCUGAUAUAUGUCAAGUAUACGACUAGUAUAUUAUGUAUACACUUCUGCAGAGCAUACAUAACAUCUUGUAUACUAGCUGCACAAAGUAUAUCUGGUUGUAUAUCAUUUUGUCAUUGAAAGAAAGAGGAAAGGAAGAGAACAAUCAACCAACAAAGAUUAAUACAACACGAAAUUCCUGAAUAUUCAAAGAUAUUUGUUGAGUAUAUGCUUGUAUACUCAAUGUAUACUAAGUGUAUAAACCUCUGUAUAGUGGAAGGGAUUCAAGGUACAUUGGGUUGUAUAUUUCAACAACAGAAGGAGGGAAGCAUCAAAUCAGAAAACGUCUUAUCAUAAUCCAACAUAUACAAGAGAUAUACUAUAGGUAUACACAUAUAUACUCACUGGUAUAAUGUGCAUAUGAGAUAUACAUACAUCAAUAUAUCUAGAAAUACUUCAAGCAAGCCAAAAGAAAGGAGAAAAAAGGAAAGAAAGAAAAGCAUGCUAAUCACAUCAAGCACAAAAUUUUGGUGCAAAAAAAAUGUUAUCCCAACAUACAAAUCCUUAGAAGAAAGAAGAAGGAAUAAGAUAUUUGAAUGUUCAUAAUCAUCAAUGCACAGUAAAACUCAACAUACACUGGAUAUUCAGGGGGUAUAUGAAAGGGUAUACAUUGGUAUAUUAGAGGUAUACCAUAUGUACACAACUCCACAUAGAUAUUUGGAGUAUACUGACCCAAUACUUUUGCCAACAUAACAAGAGAGAAAAUAAAUCAAGAAGGAAGCUAGCACAUAGAUUAACUUAACAGGGUUGGAGUACUCUGGGAGAUGUUGGUUUCAUACCUCAAGGUUGAAAGAAAAGAACAUGUUCUCAUAGCCUUAGGACAUCACUUGAUGUCCUCCCAAAAGUGUAUACCACCUCUUACAGCCAAUCAUAAGAAGAUUUAAAGACAAAUUGAUCAUGUUCUUCUCAUUUUUAGACUCAUGAUCAUAUGUGUGUUUACAUUGUUCAUUCAUCAGUCACAGAGAAGUCAAAGAAACAAAAGGUUUAUGCCUGUCAUUAAGAAUCUUGAAAGGAGUGAGCUUUGCGGGGGAUUGGGAUUUUCAGAGAAAGAAAACUAAGUCCGCGGAAAGCAAUUUCAUAAUUCACACCAGUGCUAGAUGAAUAAUAAACGAGAUAAGUUUUAGGUUGGGUAAAAGAGUUUCAUUCUGGCCGAGCUUCAAAAUCUGCUUAUUUUGAAAAGUACUUUUUAAAACAGGACUUUUGACGAAAAACAGUUUGUGUUUGGUCAAUUAAUUUAAAAAACACUUUUGAACAGCAAUUAGUGUUUGACCAAACUUUUAAAAACUACUUUUGAGUAUAUUUUUUAAAAAAGUGCUUUUGGGCAUAAGUUAUUUUUUUGUCUUUUGAAAAACAGCUUUUGUUAUUCUGCAAAAGCACUUAUUUUCUCACAAAAACUUAGUCAAACACCUCACUUUUUUAAAAUAAGCACUUAUUGAAAAAACAUAAACACUUUUGAGGAAAAAUAAGCUCGGCCAAACAGGCUAACAAUUUUAUCGUUUAUCUCAAAUAUAACCCCGAACUAUUAAAACACCUACAUGCAAUAAUCUACACUAGUGUUAGAUGAAUAAUAAAUAGAGUUUUAAAUUGAGUAAAAGAGUGUGUUUCACAUUAAAUACAAGUUUCCUCAAGAGGCUGAUGAACACGAUUGACCAAACAAAAAAAAGCCAUUAAGCAUGCAUAUAAUACCAAUAUCCAUCAACAAGACAUUGAGAUGUGCAUGUUUCAAGAGACGUGUUAAAUAAAGCGCCUUUCUUUUGUUUUGUAUAUAAUAGCUGAAUGACUACAUUUAGAUUCAAUGUAGUCAUUCAACCAUUACAUACCUAACUGUAGUCAUUCAACCAUUAUAUGCAAAAACAAAAGAAAUGUGCUUUGUUUAACACGUUUCUUGAAACAUGCACAUCUCAAUUUCUUGUUGAUUGACACUGGUAUUAUAUGCAUGCUUAAAUGGCUUUUUAUUUGUUUGGUCAAUAAUGUUCAUGAUCAGCCUCUCGAGGAAACUUGCAUUUAAUGUGAAACAAACUUUUUUACUCAAUUAAAAAAUUAUCUUAUUUAUUAUCCAUCUAACACUAGUGUGGAUUAUUGUAUUUAGAUCUUUUUAAUAGUUCGGGGAGAUAACGAUAAAAUUGGGGCAUUUAUGAAUCAAUAGGUUAACGAAGGGAAUAUAUCACAAACGUCAGGGGAGAUUUUGACCAUUUUUCGUUUCUUCUUUUCCCAACUUACACUUCCUAUAAUAAAUUGUGUGAAUAAUUUUCUAUUUUCAACUCUUCUUUGCAUUUUCUAAAAGUAUAGGAAUUAGUAUAUUAAAGAGGGAGUUCAAGGCAAAUGGAAAGAUUUUUAGUUGAAAUUUUCUGGUUGAAAUAUUGAGAUUGUCCAAAAUAAAUGAAAUUUCCACAUGAGGUGUGAAAUAUUUCAAGUCUAAAAUUUCUUCAAGUUGUAUGCCAAACUUUGAAGAAAACGUUUGUGCUUGUGAUUCUCUCAAUAAGUAAAACUCCAUUAUAGUUACUCACCUCUUUUUUAUUUGCGUUAUUUUUUUCUUUUUGUAAUGAUAAAAUUAGAAACAUGCAUCCACCACCACAAAUCACAAUUUUACAAAAGAUCUUACUUAUUAAAUCUGAUUUGUGUCCCCCCCCCC